CAUGUACUCCCUCCGUUCAGAAUUACUUGUCUCAAAAAUGGAUGUAUCUAGAACUAAAAUAUGUCUAGAUACAUCCAUCUCUGCGACAAGUAAUUCCGAACGGAGGGAGUAAUGC
rnacentral:pre_miRNA from 1 species